UACGGGGGGGGCAAGCGUUGUUCGGAAUUACUGGGCGUAAAGGCUCGUAGGCGGCCAACUAAGUCAGACGUGAAAUCCCUCGGCUUAACCGGGGAACUGCGUCUGAUACUGGAUGGCUUGAGUUUGGGAGAGGGAUGCGGAAUUCCAGGUGUAGCGGUGAAAUGCGUAGAUAUCUGGAGGAACACCGGUGGCGAAGGCGGCAUCCUGGACCAACACUGACGCUGAGUGAGCGAAAGCCAGGGGAGCAAAGCGGG
rnacentral:rRNA from 1 species